ACUUUGCAGAACUAUGGUGAGC
rnacentral:piRNA from 1 species